UGAAGAGUUACUGGCUGCUAGGCCACUGAGAAAAAGCUUUGCAUCACAAAACGUGUGCAGCAAUCAGAGAAAAAGGUUUAUAGAGUCACAAUGACUAUAUACAUAAUAUGCACACUACACUUAAAAGAUAAUGUAAUGAUAGCAAAUGUUGCAGGCAGGAAAUAAAUAGUGUCAUCUUAAAAAAUCAAAGCUCAGGACUGAGAAAGGCUUUCACUUUAGGGGUGGCUGCAAGUCAGGUGGUAGCGCAGGUCACCUGCGACUGGGCAGGUUGGUGAUUCAAUCCCGCCACUUUGCAUACCAAAUAUCCUUGGGCAAGAUACUAACCCCAAGUUGCUAUGGAUGUGUGUGAAUGUUACAAACAACAGACUCAAAAAAAAAAAAAAAACCAACAAAAUACAAAAGGUAAAAAGUCCUUACUUUAUUGCACAGACUAGAUAAAACCAUGUUCUCAUGCAGUAAUGAGGUCGUGCAGCCAUUGUUAAUCAUACAGCAGUAAGGCUGUGUCUGCCAUGUUUGCCCUGGUUUGGGUCCCAGGGGUCAGAGUUUCUUUAGAGGUUUUUAAUGUGUUGGAUAUUCUGAGGUUGCUGCUGUGCUGAGGUUUUGAUUCAGCUAUGUGGUGCUUCAGGUCUUGCUGUAUUCUUGUAUCUUGGACUUGAGUCCUUGCUUUUUCUACUUGGUUUCAGUUCCUAGUUUGAGUGUAUUUAUGUUUAGUGUUUUCAGGGUUUUGUUUUCUGUUCCUCCCUCCACCUCAUCUUUCUCAGUUUCCCUUUGUAUUACAUUUUUGCUUCAGCGUUCCACUAUGAAAGUGAACUACUUUCAUAGUGAACCACUUUCAUAGUACAGAAAACUCAAGGCUAACCUUGACGUUACCCAGAUAAACCUAAA